AGUCCUGCAACUCACCAGGCAGAAGCAAGUAGAAGUUUGUAGAGGCACGCUUACAUUUUGUGUGGUGUUUCUUUAUGCAGUAUGAUUAAGAUUAUCUAAUUGUGAUUGAUGAGUGUUUUGUUACUCCGGUCCAGGAGUCGUCUACUUUUCAUAGAUGUUUCUCCCCAAACCCUGGGGUUUUUUGUUUUUUUGUUUUUUUGGUUGGGGAUUAGUUCAUUCAUUCUCUCUCUCUCUCUCUCUCUCUCUCUCUCUCUGUCUCUGGGGCCACUUUGUACAACAAGAAGCUAGAUCAGAACAGUUAAACAGGAGGUUACCAUGCUAAAUCAAUCUUAGGGAUCUGAGUGUCUGAAUUUGAAGCCAGAAACUAGUUUAUGCUUAGUAAUGUACAUUGAGCUUUAGAUACAUUCUAUAUCUUUUACAUUCACAGCAUGCUUGCUGUUCCCUUUAGGAAGUAGUAUGAGAGUACAGGGAAAUUAAUAGUUUCCUAGGACUUUUGUAACUUCGGGAGAGAAUCCAGGGAAUGGGGGCUGGAGUACAACAUUGGCUUGAUAAUAUAAUGCAUUCUUCCCCCGCCCCCGCCCCCAACCCCUGUGUUUGUGUGGGAGAAUGUGCAUGUGAUGGUGGGUGUCCUCAGAGCUGGAGAGCCUGGUGCUUAUGAACCACCCAAAGUGGGUGCUGGCAACUGAACUGAGGCCCUUUGCAAGAAUAGUAUGUGUUUUUAACUACUGAGCUAUGUCUCUAAGCACUGGUGUAAUUUUUGUGUGUGUUGGGUUUGGGGGAUAGAGUCUCACGUAGAUGGUCUCGGAAUGCAGAAGAUCUUCCUGCCUCUGCUCUCCCACCCCGAGGGCAGGUAUGCCACACUAUGCUUAGCUUUUAGAAGGCACAUCUUACCAUUCAGUCACUUGUUUUUUACCCUCCUGUUACUUUAAGGCAGUAACGUUUAAACUGUGGGGCUGCUGCACACUAUAAGAUUAAAAUCUUAAAACUUUUGUUCUAUCAUUCAGCCUCGGGACUUUAACAUGUGAAGUUUAUAGUGUUCCCUUUUAUUGAACUACAGGCAAAGGUUCUAGUCCAAUAAUUUUCUUUUGGGAUAAGGCCUUCUGUGUAAGAAGAAAUGCUGGUAUAAAUGGAGACUUUUAAUCAGAAUUUUAUGUUAAUUGUAACAGUUAUUUGUCAGGUGAUGGUAGAAUUGUAUUGAAUCUGUUUAUGAAAUUUUUAAAUGUUUGCUGUUCUGCCUCCUCCCACCCCUACCCCCC
rnacentral:lncRNA from 1 species